rnacentral:rRNA from 1 species
UGGGGAAUAUUGGACAAUGGGCGCAAGCCUGAUCCAACAAUGCCGCGUGUGUGAAGAAGGCCUGCGGGUUGUAAAGCACUUUAAGCAGGAAAGAAGGGGUGGGAGUUAAUACCUUUCAUCAUUGACGUUACCUGCAGAAUAAGCACCGGCUAACUCCGUG